rnacentral:lncRNA from 1 species
CAGUUCCUCCCGGCUCUGACAGCCCGCGGGUGCGGCUGCAGGUGCCAUCUCGGCUUCCUUAGCCCAGCUCAGGACAAACUCCAGAAGGAAACAACCCCGGCUCUGGUCCCCUCGGGCACCCCGGGGAAGGACCCGGCACCGGCCGGUCACUCUCCGCCCGCCCGCCCUCCCGAGAGCGCGGCCCCGACCCGGGGUCCGCCGCCAAGCCCGAGCGCCCGGGGCGUUCGAGGGGGCUGGCGGCUCCUGUUCCCACCGCCGCCCGCCGUACCUGGUGGUGGUUGUACGAGUUCCUCUGCUGCAGGAAGGCGGCUGCGGCAGCCUGGUGCUGCUGCUGCAGCUGCGGGCUGACGGGUGA